GCCCCCGUAGCUCAAAAGGACAGAGCAUCGGAUUUCUAAUCCGAGGGUUACAGGUUCGAUUCCUGUCGGGGGCA
rnacentral:tRNA from 1 species